UGGGGAAUUUUGGACAAUGGGCGCAAGCCUGAUCCAGCCAUGCCGCGUGAGUGAAGAAGGCCUUCGGGUUGUAAAGCUCUUUCGGCGGGGACGAAACGGUUCGUGCCAACACCACGGACUAAUGACGGUACUCGCAGAAGAAGCACCGGCUAACUACGUGCCAGCAGCCGCGGUAAUACGUAGGGUGCAGGCGUUAAUCGGAAUUACUGGGCGUAAAGCGUGCGCAGGCGGCUCCUUAAGUCAGAUGUGAAAGCCCCGGGCUUAACCUGGGAACUGCGUUUGAAACUGGGGAGCUGGAGUGUAGAAGAGGGGGGUGGAAUUCCAGGUGUAGCAGUGAAAUGCGUAGAGAUCUGGAGGAACACCGAUGGCGAAGGCAGCCCCCUGGGCUAACACUGACGCUCAUGCACGAAAGCGUGGGGAGCAAACAGGAUUAGAUACCCCUGUAGUCC
rnacentral:rRNA from 1 species